rnacentral:rRNA from 1 species
GAUGAACGCUAGCGGCAGGCUUAAUACAUGCAAGUCGAGGGGCAGCACGGUUAGCAAUAACUGGUGGCGACCGGCGCACGGGUGCGUAACACGUAUACAGUCUACCUUAAACAGGGGGAUAGCCUUUCGAAAGAGAGAUUAAUACCCCGUAAUAAAUUGAACGGCAUCGUUUGAUUUUGAAAGCUCCGGCGGUUUGAGAUGAGUAUGCGUCUGAUUAGCUAGUUGGUGAGGUAACGGCUCACCAAGGCGACGAUCAGUAGGGGAUCUGAGAGGACUAACCCCCACACUGGUACUGAGACACGGACCAGACUCCUACGGGAGGCAGCAGUAAGGAUAUUGGUCAAUGGAGGCAACUCUGAACCAGCCAUGCCGCGUGCAGGAUGACGGCCCUAUGGGUUGUAAACUGCUUUUAUACAAGAGAAAACCCUGGUACGUGUACCAGGUUGAUAGUAUUGUAAGAAUAAGCAUCGGCUAACUUCGUGCCAGCAG